UAAGACGUAGGAUGCAAGCGUUGUCCGGAUUUAUUGGGCGUAAAGAGUUCGUAGGCGGUUUGGUAAGUCUGAUGUUAAAGAUCGGGGCUCAACCCCGGGAGUGCAUUGGAUACUGCCAGACUCGAGUAUGGUAGAGGCAAGUGGAAUUCCCAGUGUAGCGGUGAAAUGCGUAGAUAUUGGGAAGAACACCGGUGGCGCAAGCGACUUGCUGGGCCAUUACUGACGCUGAGGAACGAAAGCUAGGGGAGCGAAUGGGAUUAGAUACCCCAGUAGUCCUAGCCGUAAACGAUGAAUACUAGGCGUAGUGGGUAUCGACCCCCGCUGUGCCGCAGCUAACGCGAUAAGUAUUCCGCCUGAGUAGUACGGCCGCAAGGUUG
rnacentral:rRNA from 1 species